rnacentral:tRNA from 1 species
GUUUAUAUAGCAAAAUUGGUAAUGCAAAAGAUCUAAGACCUUUCACCAGGGGUUCAAAUCCCCUUAUUAACU